AUUCUUUCAGGUGCUUUUUAGCUUAAAAGGGAACCCCGUGAAAAUCGGGGACCGGCCCGCGGCUGUAAGCGGGGACGAAAACCGCAACAAGCCACUGCCCUGCACCCACUUGGAUAUCGAAGCAAUAAAGCCAAGGUAAUCUUGAGAUAAAUUUUAGCUGUUCUCAAAAAGCAAAAACAUUUCGAUAUCCAAGUGGGUGCAGGGUGGGAAGGCGCGGCAAGUAGGAAGAUCCGCAAGUCAGAAGACCUGCCUGCAAGA
rnacentral:ncRNA from 1 species